rnacentral:lncRNA from 1 species
CUUAUACGUAUAUUUACCAUUCGAAUUCUUGAUGGUGAACUUGUGUUCAUUCGUCAAAGUAGUAGAAAUACGUCAUCCAAGACAUAAGACUUGUUACGAUUCUAAUGAAUAUACUACUCAUGAAAACAUUAACCCUUGAGGUUUCAUAGUGUCAAGAACAAGUACUUGAUGUUGAAGGAUGAUUACUUUCGUAUACAUAUGUUCUCGUGUUUUAAUUUCUUAAAUCCUUAAUCUACCGUUAAUCUCCGUUACUCAUACACCUUGUUUCUUCGCAUAGAAGGACUUGGUGUUCCAACCUCCUAAUCAACAACAACCCACUCGCGGAUUCACAAGUAGAAGGCUUGCAAAACCGUGAGUAUACUCGUAACCCCCUUUUUAUGUUACCACUUUUUGGGGUGUUGAGGAUGAUGAUGCUAUGAAAUGAAGUAGCGUUGAUGCCUAGAUACACAUAUAGACGUUUAGGUUUAAUCGUUGUAUC